rnacentral:lncRNA from 1 species
UAGGUUUAAUAUUAAUGAUUCCUGUUGUAGUUAUUAAAAUGUAUUAUAUGUACUUGCAAGUGCCGUUGUGCUUGUAACUUCAAAAAAUAUUUUCUACCAAUGAAGUUUUGGAUGUAUUGGUAAAGCUUGAAGCCUUACGGAUCUCAAUAACCUAAGUUUAAGUUCCACCCUAAUUUAUGUGAAUUCUUUUCAAAUUUAUUGUAAUUUAAUAUUAAAUUCCAUCUUGUGUGAAAGUAUUUUAAUUAC